rnacentral:rRNA from 1 species
AUACGGAGGAUGCAAGCGUUAUCCGGAUUUAUUGGGUUUAAAGGGUGCGUUGGCGGAUGAUUAAGCGUGAGGUGAAAUGCCACUGCUCAACAGUGGAACUGCCUCGCGAACUGGUUGUCUUGAAUGCUCCUGCCGUGGGAGGAAUGUGUGGUGUAGCGGUGAAAUGCAUAGAGAUCACACAGAACACCGAUUGCGAAGGCAUCUCACGAAGGGGUGAUUGACGCUGAGGCACGAAAGCGUGGGGAUCAAACAGGAUUAGAUACCCUGGUAGUCCACGCAGUAAACGAUGUAUGCUGGGUGUGAGACUAGCGAUAGUUUCGUGCCGAAGUUAACGCGAUAAGCAUACCGCCUGGGGAGUACGGUCGCAAGAUUGAAACUCAAAUGAAUUGGCGGGG